rnacentral:rRNA from 1 species
UGGGGAAUAUUGGACAAUGGGCGAAAGCCUGAUCCAGCCAUGCCGCGUGUGUGAAGAAGGUCUUCGGAUUGUAAAGCACUUUAAGUUGGGAGGAAGGGCAUUAACCUAAUACGUUAGUGUUUUGACGUUACCGACAGAAUAAGCACCGGCUAACUCUGUGCCAGCAGCCGCGGUAAAACAGAGGGUGCAAGCGUUAAUCGGAAUUACUGGGCGUAAAGCGCGCGUAGGUGGUUUGUUAAGUUGGAUGUGAAAUCCCCGGGCUCAACCUGGGAACUGCAUUCAAAACUGACUGACUAGAGUAUGGUAGAGGGUGGUGGAAUUUCCUGUGUAGCGGUGAAAUGCGUAGAUAUAGGAAGGAACACCAGUGGCGAAGGCGACCACCUGGACUAAUACUGACACUGAGGUGCGAAAGCGUGGGGAGCAAACA